UAUAUAUAUAUAUAUAUAUAUAUAUUUACAAAUUUUGGAACCAGAAGAACGACUUGCAAAUGGACCAGAAAAAUAUAACAAACAACAAUUGACUUAAUAAAUAGAUAUCUCUCUGGAUAGAGAAUGGACUUAAUCUUGGCUAGAGUGGCUGUAUGUAUAUCUAUUGCACUUGAACAAGACUGCCUUGUUUUAUCAAGAAAGAAAAUGGAUGAUUAGGUGUGACUUCUGCUUGAAGAAAGAAUGGAAUAGUUUUAUUGCUUUAAUACUAUCACACAAGAAAUUCUUAACAUUCUGCUCACUGACUUAAAUUGAAGCAUAGAUAACAUAAAGAAACAAAAACACAAAAUAAAACACUCCCCCCCCCCUCCCCCA